rnacentral:SRP_RNA from 1 species
CCGUGCUAGGCGGGGAGGUAGCGGUGCCUUGUCACCCGCAAUCCGCUCUAGCGGGGCCGAAUUCCCUUCGGAGGGCUCGGCCUUUGGGGUCAGUACGCCAGUUGAAGGCGUCGAUGGCCGGGUCCCGUGCGGUGAGCGAUCGCGAAUCAGGUCAGGUCCGGAAGGAAGCAGCCUUAAGCGGAGCCGCUCAUGCGUCGCGGACCAACCUGGCCGGAGCCGACGAAUGGCGGGCACGCCCGAAGGACCGUUUUCGAAGAUGGGUGCACGG